AUUGAACGCUGGCGGCAGGCUUAACACAUGCAAGUCGAGCGGAGAUGAGGUGCUUGCACCUUAUCUUAGCGGCGGACGUGUGAGUAAUGCUUAGGAAUCUGCCUAUUAGUGGGGGACAACAUUCCGAAAGGAAUGCUAAUACCGCAUACGUCCUACGGGAGAAAGCAGGGGAUCUUCGGACCUUGCGCUAAUAGACGAGCCUAAGUCGGAUUAGCUAGUUGGUGGGGUAAAGGCCUACCAAGGCGACGAUCUGUAGCGGGUCUGAGAGGAUGAUCCGCCACACUGGGACUGAGACACGGCCCAGACUCCUACGGGAGGCAGCAGUGGGGAAUAUUGGACAAUGGGGGGAACCCUGAUCCAGCCAUGCCGCGUGUGUGAAGAAGGCCUUAUGGUUGUAAAGCACUUUAAGCGAGGAGGAGGCUACUGAGACUAAUACUCUUGGAUAGUGGACGUUACUCGCAGAAUAAGCACCGGCUAACUCUGUGCCAGCCGCCGCCGUAAUAC
rnacentral:rRNA from 1 species